rnacentral:misc_RNA from 1 species
UUGACAUAAACUAGCCAGUAUACCCUUG